UGGCGUGCUUAUAAAGUUCACCAGCACCAACACGGAGGUAGUAACAAAUACAUCAAGUGACAAUAAACGAGGAAAAGGACAAGGAAACGAUAGCCACGCAUGUGCGAUUUCAUUGACGCUUUUAAACCACAGUUCCAAUCGCCCUUACUGUAACGGCCACUGCUCGCCACCUUCUGCGCGGUUGGUCAUCCACGGUGUUCUUUCGCGAGGUGCGAAUCAUCUACACAUUCUUGAGAACAUUUCCCUGAAAUGUCCACAAUAAUAGGCAGAAAACGAAGAUCCGUCAGGAUCCGGGAACGGCUGGCGUCCCAAACCCUUCGCGACCAAAGCGGAGGUGAAACUACGACCGCCCGGAAUGCAUCUGUUGGGAAGGUUGGGAAGGCUACGCCGCACGUGGGCGACGCCAAGAAAGUGAGUGCCGAAAAGGGCACACUUGACAUAAUAAAGGGAGUUCAGAAGCUCUCGCUUCAAGGGCUUCAACAAAAACCUACGAAGAGGAAAGUUCUGAAAUGGAAAGAUAUGGAGGGCUUCGUCGAGGACGAACAGAAGUGUACAGCACAGGGCGAAGAUAGGGAGCGGAAGGGUGGUCCACUGCGAGACAUUUCGAACGAAGACGGUCAACACUCCCAGCUGUCAACAUCGACAACCAAAACGAACUGCAAUCGUCUAUGCGAAACUUGCGGACAAACACUUCAGUUGCAGUUGCGCUCUGCUUCGCACAGUACACCCAUCACCCCACCAAUUCAUGACGGGACAAGCGCCCGACAUGACCCUGCAACUUUGUCAACGUUAACGUUGGUCAGGGGUACGGCGGGAUCGUCAGAAGUUCGUGUGGGGUCCAAAAAGGAGAAAAUGGACUGAAACACUACAGGGCCUGUGAUUUUUGAAAUUCGCACAUGAACAAGAUCCCAGGCCCAUGUGUUAUCGUUUCUUUAGGGCUCGUGGUGCCUCACCAGUUCCCGAAAUGCUAUACGGGCCUAUACCAGGGGUUACCACGCGGCCCACGGAAAAAAUAAAAAUAUUCGACCAAAGUUGCA